GUUGGGUGAGGGCCCGGGGCAGCCCCGCCCGGUCCGGCGCCAUUACGGCUCGAGCAGAGGAGUGCGAGUCGGGUUGUGCGUGAAGGGGUCCACCUCAGCGGCUAGACCAUUUGGACUGUAAUCAACAAGACGCUGGGUGAUGCAACAUGGAGGGACUAACCACAUUUAGCAUUAAACCAAAGCAGGAGACUAUUCUGAGUGGAGGGGAUAUUUUGAACAAGGAAUUCUUCUGACGGAUUGGCAGCAAACAUCUCAGGUAGUUAUAGCCAGGAGCUGCUCUAUUUGGGUCAACUGACAUCCACACUGGAAGGGGCAGGAUCAAGAGAGGCACAGGUCUGUUGAGCUCCUGACAUUCCCCUCGUUUGAGUACUGAACAAGAUGACUUCACCCUGCUUACUCCUGAUACAGCACGCUCAUAUUUACUGUUUCACUUGAGGACUGCAACACUUCGGGUAUAUCUACACUGUCAAAUAACUCAUAGCUUAUUCCCAGGGCCAGAUCCUCUUAUUGCCCAUACUACACAGAUAUUGGAGGAUGCACAGGCUUUCUUUAGAUAUUAAACAGCUAUAUCUGUCCAAAACAAGCUCAAGUAUGGUCUGGGGGAUACUUUCCUUGAAGAAUAAUUCAUUCCCAAGCACUUUGAAUGAGACUGUACCUGGGCUGACUGCACAGCAUGGCCUGGCACUGGUAACCCUAUAUUCAGGUGGAUGCAUCUCACAGCAUAGAAGCAGCCUUUGAGUUUGUUAUGCAGGCCAUCCAUGAGUGCAGAACAUUUUCAAAGUAAAUAAAAUAUUUUGAUUGUUGUGAUUAUGAUCCCCUCAGUGCUAGGAUUUCUCAUACAGUAAUGAAUUAGGAACUCAUUAUUUUCUUAAAACACGAGGGCUGGUGACAGUGCAUCUCUGGCCACAUAGCUGGACUGACAUGAAAAGAGUCCUUAGAUUUGAUCGAUCCUUGUAUCUGUGAAAGAGCAGGGAGUUUUAAACAAGGUUUUAAUUACCUCACAACGCAAAAGAAAAGUUGAAGGUACUGAUUGCUCUGCAGGGCUCUGCAUUUCAGCAUGUUUCAUAUUUUCUUCCCAAGGGACAGGUAGAGUACUCAAGAGCUGAAAAGCAAUUAUGUUAUACAAGAUGUUUAAGAGCAGUUUCAAGGCCAUCUUGCCAGUCUCUUCUAUUAUCUUUUUUUUUUUUUGAGAGAGAGGCUGAAAUCUCCAUCUUAAGCACAACUGGCUCCUUUCCUUGCUUCCUAUAGAAGAUCCAGGAGGCUGUUGUUCAUUCUUUCAUCACAGUUGCCAAAUUUCUAAUUAAGUCGUUGUGCCUGCCCCCAUUAAGUCAAUCAGAUCAUUGCCACUAAUUGCAAUAGGAACAGGAGCAGGCUUUAAGGGCCAAGUCUUGCAGAAAAGCUCAGCAUCUGUAAUUGGAGACAGGUUUUCAAAGGAAGUGGCAACCACAUGCAAGUCACCAUCCCUGCAGGAACCACACGUUUGCCACGAGCAUUUGCCACGAUGGCCUCAGCUCUGGGAGCAGAGCGCUUGAGCGCCCUCUAAGUGUAACAGCAAUUAAGAACUGUCAGCAGCUCUCGGGGAGAGGCAGUCGGCACACAUCUUUCUGCCUGGCUGGAGCAGAUGGCCUGUGAGUGGUAGAAGAGGAGUAUCCGGGCCUGGAGAUCCCAGUGACAUACCUGACAUAUUGGUGCUAUUAGCAGAGUGGGAGAAGAAAAGCUACUCAUCCCAAGUGCAGCAAGGAGUCAAAGUUCUGGUUGUUUUGGGGAGCAGCAGGGUAUUCUCUUUUUUGCAUGCUUUUAUACCCAAGUCAUUGAUAAGUUUGCCAGCUGCUGGCGUCAGCAGGGUUGUUUCCAAUGAAAUCAUGCUUUCUCUAGACCAGGUAGCCUGUUGUUCUCAAGGAGCAACUGUGCCAGUAUAUCAUCAGCUUGGCUCAGUCUUUCCUCUCUACUCAGUGACCAGUAAAAGGAAUCCCUUACUCAACCAAAUCACAAGACAGAUUUUGCCAUUUGUACUGGGCACAUCCUCACAAAGGAGGGAAACUGCUGAACGGCCUCCCAAAGUGAACAGAACUGAUGGGAAGCAGCAGAUUUAGCUAAUUCAUGUUUAUGCACGUAACUAUUAAAAAUAACAGGAACUUUAUAGUUGAUUUUCACUUCAGGAAAUCAACUUUUUAGUCAAUAAAACAUCAAUGUUAUGAUUCUUCUGACUGAGAAACAAUCUUGGUGUCCUUACGGUAUACAAUAUACUUAAAUGCAUGCAUACCUGUUGCAGUGCUGGGGCAGUAACGCAGUUAUCUGCACUAAUAUUCAGCCACCUGUUUUUGUUCUUGCUGCUCUUCUCCUUGGUCUUACUGUUCUCACCGCUGGCUCUUGGACAGGAAUACUUAUGGGCUUAUUGUCUCAGGUGAGUUAGAAUCAUAGAAUAACGUGAACUAGAAGGGACUCACAAGGAUCAAGUCUAAUACUGCAUUCUUUUAUUCUUCUUCUGCAAAUCUCACAGCUUAUUAGGGUUUUGCACACAUUGGCCUGCAGGCCCAUAAUUUGCGUCUCAGGGCACCUCUCACAUUUGAGCUUGUAGAUUGUAGCAUGGGGAGAGGUAUCACAGAUUUCGUCUUUGCUUUAGCAUUUAUGGUCAUACAGAAGAGUCAGUAUGGCUUAGAUUCAGAUCUGUGGGUGAAAUCAGCCUCUGAUACAACAAUUCAUCUCAGUGAAAUUGCAGUGGGGUUGAUUAUAAUUAACACGUCUAGUAAAGUACUUCAGUUUUUAGUCUCAAAUCAUGUAUGCUUAUGCACUCGUGUUGGUCAAUUUCUUCCUCCUUGUAUUUUUAUUCAAAUGAGACAUUUGAUAGAAAUUCAGUGUUGAAAACAUUUCUCAGAACUUCAUACAGUUUUCUCAAAAAUCUGUUCUUGCAAUGUAUCACUGUUCUUUUCAGCAGUUUUCUUGUACUUUAUUUCCAUGUACUAUGCAAUGUAAGAUUAUACUUGUCAGCCUUUUUUAUUUUCCCCCUAACUAUGCUUUCUAAAAAUGUUUUGGCUCUCCCCUUAUGGCUAACAUCUGUGGGACUUUCAUGUUACUCCAGUAGUGAACAGGAACCCUAAGAAACCUAAGCCAAGAAGCAACAAUUUCAGAUGACAUUCUUGAUGUAACAAUCCUGUCUGUACUAUCUGCAGAACAUAGAAGAGUCUUCACUGUGUCUCUGUCAACUAGAAUUUAGGGAAGAUGAAUAACUAGAAUCAGUUAUAAAAUUCAAGAUAGCUUACAGAUAAUAAUCUGUUAAAAUGUUGUACAGUGUAUAGAAAUUGUCACUGUUUUAAGAUUCAUAGCCCUUUGUCUGUAAAGUCAAAGCAUUUAGAUUCAUUUACACUCAGCAUUCACCUUUCAGAUCCAAAACAUUUUAAACAGCUCUUGAACUAACCAAGAAUAGCUUCUUCUCUUUUUUUUUCUUUUCUGCACAGUCACCUUGUAGUUUUAAAGACUGGUGUCUUGGGACCUCAUAAAGCCCAGACCAAUUGCCUCAUCAGAGCGAUCUCCUAUUUUUCUUCCCCAAGAGUACAGAGUUCCUGUUUCUACUCCAGAGGAGAUGAGAUCUGUGACAGGUCUGCUGUCCUUCUGCCCUUCUUGUGUGGGUCAGCAGGUAGCAUUCCAGAGAUGUCUGUGUUCAAGUUUGAAAUGAAGGAAUGAAACAUUUACUAAUCUGUCUGCAGCUUUUAAAAUAGCUCUGGGAAGCUGUUCCUCAGAGCUUUGGAGUAUGGUGUCUGUUGCCAAAGUAGGUGGAGUGGAAGGAGGAGAAAUACACUGUGGGCAAUAAAAUGUAAUAAAUGUAAUGUAUUGCAUGUCUGCUACCAUUGCAUUUAUGGUAGGUAUAUGUCUGUAGUCUCUGCAAGCAGAAACGUCUUUGUGUCUUCGUAUUGUUGGAUUUCCAUAGUACCCACAACUAGCAGAGCACAGGCUAUCUAAUCCGUUGCAACUGUGGCUAUUUCUUCCUCUAAAAGCUGGAAAGAUGGCUUUGUUUCUCAAGAAGGGGAGAUGAUUUAACUAGAAUGGUUACAGGCGAUUUCCUCCAUUGUAGUCAUUACAUUUCUGAGUUCAUAAUAAUUGGCUUAAGGGUGUAGUUUGUUCAAUUUUCCCAAAGCCAUUUAUUUCACUGUAGGAAAAAAAAAAAAAAUAUGGUAUUUUUCAAUUUGUAAUUUUAGUCUAGUGGGAAAAUGUUAAACAUUUUCAUACCGAGGUGUAGACUGUAUUUUCAGCUUUCAGCUUUUGGGUUGUAAUGAUUUAGUUCUUUGCAGCAGUCUGCUGAGAGAAUGUGUUUAUUCCUCCAGGGACAGAGCUUAUCCAUGCCUGCGACAACCCUCAGUCUGUGAAUUUAAGAAGUUACUGUUUACAAGGUCUCCGCUGUCUUGAGUUCUGUCAUACUUUUUGAGGGGAAAAAAUAAGCUAUGCUGGCUGGAGUCCAAAAGAGGGAGGCAAACAUGGAAGAAAGCUACAGAAAAAGUGAACUGUGAGGUCAGGUUGGAAGAAUUGGAGUUUUGAGAUCUCUGGAAAAAAGAUGGAGUGGAAUUAUAAUAGGAACCUUCAAAUAUUUCAGAGCUUCUCUUGGAUAGGACAGUCACCAAUGUAUCUUUGUGUGUAGGACAGGCUGCAAUCUAUUUCAUUUGCCAUAGGUAAGAUUUAGGUUGGAUGUGGGGAAAAUUAUUUUGUCAGAGAGAGCAAUAAAAUGCUGAAAUAAGCUCCUUGGGAGGCUGUGGAAUUUCCUUGAGUCAGGGGAAGCCCCAGAUCUGCCAGGGGGUCCUGAGCACAUGAGCUGGUCUGAAAAGGGAGGCAGGAUGGUACCUCUGCCCAUGUGCCUCAAGUCGGGGUUGCAGCCCUUGUGGAGGGUGCGGAGGGCCCAAAGGAAGCAAUGAAGUGUUGGAAAAUGUGCUAGAAAAUGUGCUUAAAAAGAAAUCUCUAUUAAUGAUAAGAAAAAACUGAUCCUUAGGAAAGAAAAGAGCCUUACACAGUUUGAAAAUGUAUAAAAUUCUGCAGCUCAAAAUAUUUUCCUUUCCUUUCUUAAAUAUUUGAUCCUUAAUGCUACUUGCACAGCCAGCCUUCAGGUGAUUAUAAAAAGACAGAUGAGCCAAAAAACAGGUCGCACUUUCAAAAAGGUGGAGAAAUAGCAGACUAGACAAUCUUGUCUUUCCUUCCAGCCCUAUGCUUCUAGGGUUUUUGCAGUGCAGUUAAUACAGAGGAAGGCUGAUUAAUGAAAUCUUGUCAUGUGUCGGAUGCUGAGCUUCCUCCCACAGACAGAACUGAAACACCCACAGACCUCUGCCAGUUGCUGGUAGCCUAAGCAGCACUUGAGCUGAAGCAAACACGCCAAUAAAAAAAAGUGAAUUAAAAUAGGUCUGAGACACAGAGCAUAUCAGCAACUUCAUGGUGAAAAGAAGUCACAGAGUGCUUUAGGUUGGAAGGGACCUCUGGAGUCAUCUGGACCAGCCCAACAAUGGAAAGUGUUCAGAAGCCCUCUAAAUAAGCAAUGCACGGCCAGAAAAUUCAGUGUAAUGGUUAGACAUAGAGAAACCCAGGCCUAUUAGAUUUUUAAAAUGUAUCAGUAAGGUCUCCAAAUGUCCUGACUCCUGUCCCAUGCUAAAGUAACCCAAUCUGGAGAUGUAUUUAAGACAAUACCUGAAUUCAAGAACUACUUGUUCCCCUCCACAGUGUGGGCUGUGUCUAAAGCUUAAUUACCAAUGCACAAGUUUAACGGUUGGAAAUUUCAAGGUUUCCAGCUCCUUUCUCCCACAAGAUGCAUUAACCUGCCACACGGUGUCAGGAAAUUCAAAUUACAAAUGUGCUUCAGUAGCCAACUUACCUGUAAAAGUCAUGGACAAUGGUAAGGCAAGGAAAGCAAGUAGCCCAAAUAUAAAGCAUGCUGUGAAUGGGAAAAAAUAAAAAUAAAAAGAGAAAAUAAAGACAGUGUUAUUGGAGUUUAGAAGUUCCAUCCAGUGCUUUACAGUGUACAUGAUGCAGAAGGAAUAUCAUGUUUAUUGUGCAGCAUCUGACAUGAUGAAACCAGGAAAUGGCCUGUUGUUCUUCCAGAGCUCAAGUCUCCAUUUUUUAAUUAAUACAUUUUAGUUCUUACAUCAGUAAUAAAACAAUGAGAGACACAAAGUACUUUUGCAGCUACUACUUUUAAAUGUCUGAUUGCAAAGAAUUCCUUAGCCUGCACCAGCUUCAGACACCACCAGGUUACUGUGUGAUAACAAGCAGCUUGCAUGAGCUAAUCCAUGGCAACUGAUGAGCUGUGUCUGUUUGCGAAGCAAAUAGCAGCUGUAAUGCCAUUACGCUCGGUUUUCCGUGAUAGCUAAAUAAGCAGUCUUUAUUGCACAAGUGAAGAGUUUGGGGCUAGUCUGGCCCCCCGCCCCAGCUCAGCACGUGGACACAAAGACAGGGAGCAGCUUGUCACUGGGAGAGAUCAGCUCCAGCUCCAUGGAGGGAUGCUGUAAGGGUAUGCAUCAACUCUUCUCUUGGAUGAGAGGGUCUGAGGUGCUUAGUUACUCCUCAGAGAGCUACUAUUGUUUCUGAUCCCAGGAACUUUCUAGCACAGUCCGAUGCUGCUGAGGAUGAGUGCUUACCUUUGCAGAAAACCAGAAAUAAUAGCAUCAAUAACAGCGUGAGCAGCCUGCCUUCUGCAAGGGCUGUCACCUCUGUGCCUCUUCAUGGGCACUCUGCAAUAUUAAAGUGAGAUGCUGCUCCAGAAAAUGAGGGGGGAGCAUAAUGAGGAAAUUCUGCAGUGAGCAUCCCUGCAGAGCACUUCUUGAUCUGCAAGCAAGUGCUCAAGGAAGCAAGUGUGUGGUAGGCAUAGUCUGUAGAAGUAGGCAUAAGUUGCAGAAGGGCUGAGAAAAGAGUAGGGUGCCUCCUUGGAAGCUUAUGAAAAAAGUCAGAGCUCAUACCCCAGCACUGCAGGCUUUGCCAAAUAAUUUGCUCCUUUUGUGCCACAUAAGAUUGGACCCACUGCCUGUGCCAUGAUGCCAUGCAGUGCCACACAGGGUGGCUGUACAGUGCUGCCAAAGCAUCACCAUCAGGGUGCUUGUAGGAAUGGGGAAACAGCACUGCCUCCGUUUUCCAGAAGGAGAAACUGAGUCAGAGCAUAUAGUGGCAUCAUCAAAAUCCAGAUUUUCUGCCUUGCAGUCACUUUUCAUGGGAACCCCCCCCCCCCCACCAAC